rnacentral:pre_miRNA from 1 species
AUGUGCAGUUGGAAGGGGGGCCGUUACACUGUAAGAGAGUGAGUAGCAGGUCUCACAGUGAACCGGUCUCUUUUCUUACUGUGUCACAUCU